UACGGAGGGGGCUAGCGUUGUUCGGAAUUACUGGGCGUAAAGCGCACGUAGGCGGCUUUCUAAGUCAGGGGUGAAAUCCUGGAGCUCAACUCCAGAACUGCCUUUGAUACUGGAGAGCUUGAGUCCGGAAGAGGUGAGUGGAACUCCGAGUGUAGAGGUGAAAUUCGUAGAUAUUCGGAAGAACACCAGUGGCGAAGGCGGCUCACUGGUCCGGUACUGACGCUGAUGUGCGAAAGCGUGGGGAGCAAACAGG
rnacentral:rRNA from 1 species